GGAGAGGUGGCAGAGUGGUUGAACGCGGCGGUCUUGAAAACCGUUGUGCCCGUAAGGGUACCGGGGGUUCGAAUCCCUCCCUCUCCG
rnacentral:tRNA from 1 species